GAAAUGCGAUAAGUAAUGUGAAUUGCAGACUUCAGUGAAUCAUCGAAUCUUUGAACGCACAUUGCGCCCCCUGGUAUUCCGGGGGGCAUGCCUGUUCGAGCGUCAUUUCACCACUCAAGCCUCGCUUGGUAUUGGGCAACGCGGUCCGCCGCGUGCCUCAAAUCGACCGGCUGGGUCUUCUGUCCCCUAAGCGUUGUGGAAACUAUUCGCUAAAGGGUGUUCGGGAGGCUACGCCGUAAAACAACCCCAUUUCUAAGGUUGACCUCGGAUCAGGUAGGGAUGCCCGCUGAACUUAAGC
rnacentral:misc_RNA from 1 species